AGUGUUGGUUUUUGUGCGUAAUUGACUGGUAAAGUGCGACUGAGAAAUUUUGGAGUUUGCUUCUUCUUCUUAUAUAUGAAAAUGGAAGAUAUGACCUUGGAUAUUCUUGUUCUUGUUCUUCUCGCCUCUCAAGGAUUGAAGAAGAUAGUCACUGAAUUCCUUUAGUAAGUGGGUUUUCAAGGAUUUUGCUUGUAGUGUUGUAAAUGGGAAAACACUAGUGGACCAAAGAUAUUGAUGAGCAAAUUGGGGAUAAUCAACCAGGCUGUGUGUGGGGUGCCCUUCAUGCUCUUGACUAUCAUCACUGGCAUUACAAUGUUAAAAAGCUGCUACCCCACACGAAGCACAAUGGACCAAGACAUGUGAAAGUUGUGAAGGAAUGUGCAUGAGGUCGUUUCAUGCCACUGUUGAAGCUGGUUCUGAAUCCAUAUGUGGAUCUCUCUGCCUUUCUGAUGAACUAGUAGAUUGAUUGGAUCUGCAUCUGAUUUGCCCAAAAUUUUACCUUCUAAAUGCCUUGUGGGUCUUUCCCUGUGUUUCUGCAACAUGUGGUCUCUUUUACCAUCCACAUUGUGUUGCAAAACUGUUCCACCGUAAGAGUGCAGCUGAGGCAGAAGAGCUUCGGAAGAAGAUAGCUUCUGGGGAAUUUUUCACAUGUCCCAUUCAUAAAUGCAUUGUCUGCAAAUUGGGUGAAAAUAAGUUGGAUCCUGAUUUGCAAUUUGCAGUUUGCAGACGUUGUCCCAAGUCGUACCGCA